UACGUAGGUGGCAAGCAUUGUCCGGAAUUAUUGGGCGUAAAGAGCAUGUAGGCGGUCCUUUAAGUCUGGAGUGAAAAUGCGGGGCUCAACCCCGUAUGGCUUUGGAUACUGGGGGACUUGAGUGCAGGAGAGGAAAGGGGAAUUCCCAGUGUAGCGGUGAAAUGCGUAGAUAUUGGGAGGAACACCAGUGGCGAAGGCGCCUUUCUGGACUGUGUCUGACGCUGAGAUGCGAAAGCCAGGGUAGCGAACGGG
rnacentral:misc_RNA from 1 species